GCCGGCGUAACUCAAUUGGCAGAGUUUCCGUCUCCAAAACGGAAUGUUGCAGGUUCAAGUCCUGUCGCCGGUGCCU
rnacentral:tRNA from 1 species